UAUAAAGAUGACAAAAAAUUCUAUUUAAUAAAUACAAAGGAGAAAAAAUAUGGUUCAAAUUCAUAUGUUUGUUUAUGCUUUUAUCACAUUUCUUUUUUUAUUUCUUUUUGUAACAGAUGGUGAACAAAUAUCUUGUGUUACUGACGAUGAUUGUCCAUGGAAGCCAUUACCUUUCUAUAUGAAAUGCGUUGAAAAUUUGUGUCGGCACAAGCUACAUUAAAAAGUAAACUUAAAAAUAAUAUGUUAUCUCUAAACAAAUAAUUUUAAAUAAUAUGUACUUUAUAAUUUAAGUAAAAAAAUUAUUUAUCUUUUUAUUGUUUUUCAAUUUUUAUAACAAGUUUAAAAGUGUAGUAGUAUAUUAUACAUGUACUCUUACUUUCAUUUUCUCAUAAAAUAUAUGAGUAUGAAUUUACAAAUCAAUGAAAAUAGUUAAACUUAAACUCCUA